CAAGAUGAGGGCUCCCACAGAAUAAUCUGGUAAGGCCCCCGGCAGACCACCGGGUGAUAGGUCGGAUGUGGAAGUGCUGAAAGGCAUGGAGCUGACCGAUACUAAUAGGCCGAGGGCUUGUUUUC
rnacentral:rRNA from 1 species